UUCCUAGUGCUUCUCCUUGACACGCACAGGGAUGAAUGCAUUUUCCUAACAGGCAGCUCAGGGGCGGCCAGAGGGCCUUUGUUCCUCUGUCUCCUUCCAUGCAGCCUCUCAAAAUCUCAUCUCUCCAGAAACUACUCAAUGUCCAUUGUAUUAUUCUGCCACUGCACUAGGAGGAACUUUCAACUUCUUUCUCUGAGCUCCUUUAGUUCUUUGUAUCCUUGAUUUUGCUCGUGUCUGGGUCCAGAGCCUGCCAGGUACUCAGGUUCUCCUGGGCUGACCCAGAGGAGGGUGGUUGGGAGGUCAGUGGGGACAGAUUCAGGGAUAGUGUUGCAUUCCUCUCUGCCUUCCCAUCACCACAAAAGCCUCCAGCUACCCAUUUGGAGUGUAAUAAAUGCUGGUAUGUCUAGCUGAAGCCAGUUCCAGCUGUGGGGAAGAUGGCUGCUUGCUCGUGGCCAGCUGGGGCCAUACACAGCCCUGGGGAGGCCACAUCUGUGCAGGGAGCUUGUGUCUGAGGGUGGUGACAGCUGUUUUCUGCCUCAGGAGAAACUGAAGCCAGAAUACUUGGAGGAACUUCCUACAAUGAUGCAGCACUUCUCACAGUUCCUGGGGAAGAGGCCAUGGUUUGUUGGAGACAAGAUCACCUUUGUAGAUUUCCUCGCCUAUGAUGUCCUUGACCUCCACCGUAUAUUUGAGCCCAAGUGCUUGGACGCCUUUCCAAAUCUGAAGGACUUCAUCUCCCGCUUUGAGGGCUUGGAGAAGAUCUCUGCCUACAUGAAGUCCAGCCGCUUCCUCCCAAAACCUCUGUACACAAGGGUGGCUGUCUGGGGCAACAAGUAAUGCCUUGAAGGCCAGGAGGUGGGAGUGAGGAGCCCAUACUCAGCCUGCUGCCCAGACUGUGCAGCGCAGCUGGACUCUGCAUCC
rnacentral:sRNA from 1 species